AACGAACGCUGGCGGCAGGCCUAACACAUGCAAGUCGAGCGAGGACUUCGGUUCUAGCGGCGGACGGGUGGGUAACGCGUGGGAAUGUGCCCUUCUCUCCGGAAUAUCCCUGGUAAACUGGGAGUAAUACCGUAUACGCCCCAUUCGGGAAAGAUUUAUCGGGGUAGGAUCAGCCCGCGUUGGAUUAGGUAGUUGGUGGGGUAAUGGCCUACCAAGCGGACGAUCCAUAGCUGGUUUGAGAGGAUGAUCAGCCACACUGGGACUGAGACACGGCCCAGACUCCUACGGGAGGCAGCAGUGGGGAAUCUUAGACAAUGGGGGCAACCCUGAUCUAGCCAUGCCGCGUGAGUGAUGAAGGCCUUAGGGUUGUAAAGCUCUUUAAGCUGGGAAGAUAAUGACGGUACCAGCAGAAGAAGCCCCGGCUAACUCCGUG
rnacentral:rRNA from 1 species